rnacentral:misc_RNA from 1 species
CCAUGAUUAAACAACAUCAAUGGUGCCCACUUGGUGUAUAAAAUAUGUACCAUUUGAAUCUGAAACAUAUCAUUUCAUUACAAAAGCAUCCCACAUGAUGUAUGGUUGGAACCUGCUGACACCCUUAGCCAGGAACUGUUAAAGUGGAUAGGCCAUGAAUCCCAGAUAAAAUUGUUUGUCCAAUGAGAUUAUGACUAUGAUCGCUCCAAGUUAGUGGAGUUGAUCACUGAUCCUGCAGAAAUCCUUU